UGCAUAUCAAUUAAGCGGAGGAAAAGAAACUAACAAGGAUUCCCCUAGUAACUGCGAGUGAAGCGGGAAAAGCUCAAAUUUAAAAUCUGGCGGUCUUAGGCCGUCCGAGUUGUAAUUUAGAGAAGCGUCUUCCGCGCCGGACCGUGCACAAGUCUCCUGGAAUGGAGCGUCAUAGAGGGUGAGAAUCCCGUCUUUGGCACGGAUGCCUGGUGCUUCUGUGAUGCGCUCUCGAAGAGUCGAGUUGUUUGGGAAUGCAGCUCAAAAUGGGUGGUGAACUCCAUCUAAAGCUAAAUAUUGGCGAGAGACCGAUAGCGAACAAGUACCGUGAGGGAAAGAUGAAAAGCACUUUGGAAAGAGAGUGAAACAGUACGUGAAAUUGUUGAAAGGGAAACGCUUGAAGUCAGUCGCGUCGACCGAGGCUCAGCCUUGCCUCGGCUUGGUGUACUUCUCGGCCCGACGGGUCAGCGUCAAUUUUGCCCCUCGGAUAAUGGCAAGGGAAAGGUGGCACCUUUACGGGUGUGUUAUAGUCUCCUGUCGCAUGCGAGGGGUGGGAUUGAGGAACUCAGCGCGCACCUUGGUGUCGGGGCUUCUGCCCACGUCACGCGCUUAGGAUGCUGGCGUAAUGGCUUUAAACGACCCG
rnacentral:rRNA from 1 species